rnacentral:ncRNA from 1 species
CAAAAGUUUUAUUUAAGCUUAAAUUGGUUAUUAUUUAAUUUUAUGAUAUAAAAAUAUAAGUGUUUUAAUAAAAAGUGGUAAUUAUAAAAAUUAAAAUAAAUAGAAAUAUUGAUUUAGAAAUUUAUAAUAGUAAUAACAAAAAUUGUGCCAGCAGUUGCGGUUAAACAAUUAUUACAAAUAAUUAGUUUUGAAUUUAUAAUAAUUAGUAAUUUUAUAAAAUAAGUAUUUUAUUAUUAAGUGAAAUUUUAAUAUUAUUAUUAUUUUUAUUAAUAUUUUUGAUUUAUUAAAAUAUAUAAAAAACUAGGAUUAGAUACCCUAUUAUAUUAAAGUAAAAAAUAAAAUUGAUUAGUAUUAGUUAUAUUCUUGAAAAUUAAAGGAUUUGGCGGUAUUAAAAUUUUUUAGAGGAACCUGUUUUGUAAUUGAUAAUCCACGAUUAAUCAUACUUAUUUUAAUUAAUUUAUAUAUCGUUGUAGUUGAAUUUUUUAUUAGAGUAUUAAUAUUCAAAAUUUUAAAUUAAAAAAUAAAUCAAAUCAAGAUGUAGUUUAUAAAUAUAGAAGAAAUGGGUUACAUUUAUUAAAAAUAAUAGUUUAAAAUUUGAAAAAUUUUAAUAAAAUGGAUUUAAGAGUAAUUUUAUUAAUUUAAUUAAAAUGAUUUUAUAAAUUUAGUAUGCACAUAUUGCCCGUCGCUUUCAUUUAAUAUGAAAUAAGUCGUAACAUAGUAGUUGUACUGGAAAGUGUAGCUAGAUUAAA